rnacentral:misc_RNA from 1 species
AACGCAAAUUGCACUCUCUGGUAUUCCGGAGAGUAUGCCUGUUUGAGGGUCGUUAAAUAAAAAGGAUCGUUUUUAUCGCCUUCGGGUGGUAUUUUCGGAAUUGAGCUUUUUCUUUUUUUAACCCAUCUUCUUUGGGGAAUCUCUUAAAGAGGCUUAAAAUUUUAUCGUUAUGAUUAUGAGACUUAUGUUUAAUACGUUAAGUUUUUAAUGUCAUGCCAUUCUUUUUUAUUAGGUCGUGGCUAUGUUAUUGAUCAGACAAUAGUUGAUGUCAAGCUUCAUGACCUAUAAACGAUACAUUCAUAAAAUGACCUCAAAUCAGGUAGGAACACCCGCUGAACUUAA